UUAAGUUCAGCGGGUAUCCCUACCUGAUCCGAGGUCAAACUUAGAGAGUGGGGGGUUGAUGGCCAGCGUCCAUCGACACCCUGUAGCGAGAAGAUUUACUACGCUCAGGGCCCGACGGCACCGCCACUGAUUUUAAGGCCCGCUGGGGAAGCAGCGGAGCCCAAGACCAAGCAAUGCUUGAGGGUUGUAAUGACGCUCGA
rnacentral:misc_RNA from 1 species